AUUAGCAGUUCCUUCUCUUUCUAUCUGGUUAAUUAUAAUACAAAAUUAAUUUAUAUUUGAAAGAUUGUCAUUUUUCAUUUGUUUUAGUUAGUUUAUAAAAUAUGAGAACAAACAGCGAGGGGAAUAAAGGAAAAUUAAAGUGAUAAAUAAAGGAAAAGAUGGUCAAAACGAAAACAUCGAAGAAUUAUUCCAUCACCAUCACCCAAAUUUAUCUUUAUUGAAAUUCUCUAUUUUGCUUCAUCCCUUUUGAUUUUCCCUUUAUCUUUUCUUUUCCCCUCUUUUUAUGUUUUUUGACCCAUAAUUAUGUUAUAAUUUUUCAUUAUUAUAUUGUAUGAAUAAUUAUUUGACCCACGCUUUUUACACAUUUUU
rnacentral:lncRNA from 1 species